rnacentral:piRNA from 1 species
UAGGAUGGGGUCUUGAGGAAGGUC